rnacentral:rRNA from 1 species
CGGACGGGUGAGUAACACGUGGGUAACCUGCCCAAGAGACUGGGAUAACACCUGGAAACAGAUGCUAAUACCGGAUAACAACACUAGACGCAUGUCUAGAGUUUAAAAGAUGGUUCUGCUAUCACUCUUGGAUGGACCUGCGGUGCAUUAGCUAGUUGGUAAGGUAACGGCUUACCAAGGCAAUGAUGCAUAGCCGAGUUGAGAGACUGAUCGGCCACAUUGGGACUGAGACACGGCCCAAACUCCUACGGGAGGCAGCAGUAGGGAAUCUUCCACAAUGGACGCAAGUCUGAUGGAGCAACGCCGCGUGAGUGAAGAAGGGUUUCGGCUCGUAAAGCUCUGUUGGUAGUGAAGAAAGAUAGAGGUAGUAACUGGCCUUUAUUUGACGGUAAUUACUUAGAAAGUCACGGCUAACUACGUGCCAGCAGCCGCGGUAAUACGUAGGUGGCAAGCGUUGUCCGGAUUUAUUGGGCGUAAAGCGAGUGCAGGCGGUUCAAUAAGUCUGAUGUGAAAGCCUUCGGCUCAACCGGAGAAUUGCAUCAGAAACUGUUGAACUUGAGUGCAGAAGAGGAGAGUGGAACUCCAUGUGUAGCGGUGGAAUGCGUAGAUAUAUGGA